CAAAUUAAAUGGAAAUGGUGGGGAUUGACGAAAGGUUCAGAGCAGGAAUUGUGAAACGGCUCCUGGCAGCAGCCUGAAUCUACUCUGCACUCUGUCAUGAUGCCAUUGCCUGGGACUUACGAAUUUUGCUUGUACAAGAUUUAUUAUCUUAUUUUAAACUACAGAAUUCCAAAACACAAGGCAAACCCGGGCCCAAAGGUCUUUGUAGAAGUGGUAGCAGCUGAGAAGGGGACGUUCAUAAUGGCACAUGGAAAUUGGAGGCGUGUGGAGAGAAAACAGACUGUGGGGUCUGAAGACCUGGAACUGUGUACCAGUCCUAUAGUUAACAAGCUCAACCUAUCAGCUGAGGAAUAAUACUUUUCUUGCAUUAUAUCAUGGAGAAAGCUUCAAUUUUAUGCUGGUAUGUCCUUAACACCUUUCUAUCCUUGAUCUUAGCCAAAAGGUUGAGAAGCAGUCUUCAACACCUUUCUAAUCCCUCACUGAUUUUCCUUUUUUAACAGAGCAAACCUCAGGCUCAGACCCUUUGGCAGGCAGCAGUAUCUAGCUGGAAUUUAAAAAUCACUCCCCUCACCUCCCGCGGCAUUUGAUGUUAAGGUCACUACUAAUUAUGGCAAGUGAUCCUGCUAUUCCAUUUACAAAAAUAAUACAAUGUUUUCUUUUAAAAUAAAUGAAAUCUAAGUUUUAAAAGUAUGUCUAAUGAAUACAGUCACAUGUCACUUAACAAUGGAUACAUUCUGAGAACUGCAUUGUUAGGUGAUUUUGUUGUUGUGUGAACAUCAUAGACUGUAUUUACAUAAACUUAGAAGGAAUAGCCUACUACACACCUAGGCUAUAUGGAAUGGCCUAUUGCUCCUGGGCUACAAACUUGCACAGCAU
rnacentral:lncRNA from 1 species